GAUGAACGCUGGCGGCGUGCUUAACACAUGCAAGUCGAACGAUGAAGCCCAGCUUGCUGGGUGGAUUAGUGGCGAACGGGUGAGUAACACGUGAGCAACCUGCCCCUGACUCUGGGAUAAGCGCUGGAAACGGCGUCUAAUACUGGAUACGAACCACGAAGGCAUCUUCAGUGGUUGGAAAGAUUUAUUGGUUGGGGAUGGGCUCGCGGCCUAUCAGCUUGUUGGCGAGGUAAUGGCUCACCAAGGCGUCGACGGGUAGCCGGCCUGAGAGGGUGACCGGCCACACUGGGACUGAGACACGGCCCAGACUCCUACGGGAGGCAGCAGUGGGGAAUAUUGCACAAUGGGCGCAAGCCUGAUGCAGCAACGCCGCGUGAGGGAUGACGGCCUUCGGGUUGUAAACCUCUUUUAGCAGGGAAGAAGCGAAAGUGACGGUA
rnacentral:rRNA from 1 species